rnacentral:rRNA from 1 species
UACGUAGGGCGCAAGCGUUAUCCGGAAUUAUUGGGCGUAAAGAGCGUGUAGGCGGCUUGGUAGGUCCGCUGUGAAAACUCGAGGCUCAACCUCGAGAUGUCGGCGGAAACCACUUGGCUAGAGUCCGGAAGAGGAGAGUGGAAUUCCCGGUGUAGCGGUGAAAUGCGCAGAUAUCGGGAAGAACACCUAUGGCGAAGGCAGCUCUCUGGGACGGUACUGACGCUGAGACGCGAAAGCGUGGGGAGCGAACAGG